rnacentral:lncRNA from 7 species
UAAAAACGGACGGGCUCCGAUCCCGAUGUAACCCUAAAGUCAAAAAACAUUGUUGUUACCACCACCGCCUGCCACGGAUUUGAAUCGCAUCGAGCGCUCGCACCGACAUCCAGUAAGACCGAUCGCGAGCCGCCGACUUUUUCUAUUGUGUGAUCGUCAUCUGGUGUUGGCUUUGGAGGUACGAUCUGUCAAUUAGAUCCUCGAUGCUACAUUUAUCAGUAAGUUCCAUCAACGCUACGAUCUUGCAGUUGUUUCGUUUUUUUGGCGUAUGUCGCCUUGACUGAACCACUACUUUGGCUUUCUGAUUGUGAAUUUAACACUAUUACGAUAGUUGGCAAUGUUACUGAGGAUUGUGGGUUUCUACUGAGGGGUUACUUGAUCAUGUACUCGUGUGGUCCAUGCCAUAUACUGUGACUGUGUAUUGUUGUUCUUAUAACUCAAUAUUACUGAGAAAAUAAAUAAUGUUUAUGAGCCGAUAUUGGGUGUUAUUACUACUGUUAUAUGGAAUCUUGUGAAAUACGAAUUGACUAGAUUAUUCCGUAAUGAGUAUGACGAAUUAUUACCAAGGGAUUGCUAGGUUAUUAAUGGGCCAUAUUAAUGUUAUUACUGCUUUGGACAGUGAUGGAUAAUGAUUGGUUAUUAUCGAGGUGUGUUUUGGUACUGAGUGAUACACAUUGUUAUUACAUAUUUAUUUCUGAGUUAGUGAUUCAGACUGAUGGGUCAUUACUGGGCAAUAAUAAUAUUACUGCCGAAGUAUGUUUGGUACUGAGUGACACUUUGUUUUACUGCUGUUUUCUGAGUGUAAAUUUAUCAAUAUUACUUAGAGUUCUGGUA